GUGCUUGCUUCGGCAGCACAUAUACUAAAAUUGGAAGGACACAGAGAAGAUUAGCCUGGCCCCUGUGCAAGGAUGACAGGCAAAUUCGUGAAGGGUUCCAUGUUUUC